CGCCGUAAACGAUGUCAACUAGUUGUUCGUGUCAUAAACGAUGUGAGUAACGCAGCUAACGCACUAAGUUGACCGCCUGGGGAGUACGGCCGCAAGGUUAAAACUCAAAUGAAUUGACGGGGGCCCGCACAAGCGGUGGAGCAUGUGGUUUAAUUCGAUGCAACGCGAAGAACCUUACCAUCCCUUGACAUCCAGUGAAUUUUCCAGAGAUAGAUGAGUGCCUUCGGGAACACUGAGACAGGUGCUGCAUGGCUGUCGUCAGCUCGUGUUGUGAGAUGUUGGGUUAAGUCCCGCAACGAGCGCAACCCUUAUCCUCAGUUGCCAGCACGUAAUGGUGGGAACUCUGUGGAGACUGCCGGUGAUAAACCGGAGGAAGGUGGGGACGACGUCAAGUCAUCAUGGCCCUUACGGGAUGGGCUACACACGUGCUACAAUGGCGCAUACAAAGGGAAGCAAGCUAGCGAUAGCAAGCGGAUCUCAAAAAGUGCGUCGUAGUCCGGAUCGGAGUCUGCAACUCGACUCCGUGAAGUCGGAAUCGCUAGUAAUCGCGGAUCAGAAUGCCGCGGUGAAUACGUUCCCGGGCCUUGUACACACCGCCCGUCACACCAUGGGAGUGGGCUGCACCAGAAGUAGUUAGCUUAACCUU
rnacentral:rRNA from 1 species